UACGUAGGGGGCAAGCGUUGUCCGGAAUCAUUGGGCGUAAAGCGCGCGUAGGCGGCCCGGUAAGUCCGCUCUGAAAGUCCAGGGCUCAACCCUGGAAAGCGGGUGGAUACUGCCGGGCUAGAAUCCGGAAGAGGCGAGUGGAAUUCCUGGUGUAGAGGUGAAAUUCGUAGAUAUUCGGAAGAACACCAGUGGCGAAGGCGACUCGCUGGACAAGUAUUGACGCUGAGGAACGAAAGCCAGGGGAGCGAACGGG
rnacentral:rRNA from 1 species